CACCUAAAUCCACAUUGUCAAGCCUUUGGCUGUACUCUACUGGAGAAAAACGCUGCAGGGCUUUUUCUCCUCUUUCAAUGUCAACAGAGAACGAUGUCCCGGAACAAUUGAAUGGCUACCUCUUGGUCUCUGCAUGAUUAUCUUAAUACCAAAUACCAUUUGCUGGUGUGGGGACUCUGAGCAGUCCCUUGCAAGCAGCCCUGGCAAUGUGUGUUGAAAGAUUACUGAUGUCAGGAACCCUUUUUCGGGACUUGCCUCCUCUUGGUGGACCCCAGGUUGAGUUGCCUUCUGGGAGGACGACCAUAGAAUAGCUGGAAAAGAGAAGCUUCGAAGGUUCCUUCAGGCUUGACAGACAACUAAAACUUGUAGAGAGGGAAGUGGCAAGUGAGGGCAGUUUCCUCUUUAGGACUGCGGACAGGCAAAAUGGUUUUACUAGGUGAGGUGAAUAGGCUGUAUGGAGAUUGCUGAGGUGAUAGACCUACAUUGGGUCUUUCAUGGUAGAUCAUUUUUGUUGUUAUUAAUUGAAUGUUAGCUGAGAUUCAGCAGAAAUUCUGAGUACUUUAAGAAGAAAAGGAUUUAAUACAGGAGACUAGGCAUGUACAAAAUCAUCAGAUGACUGGACAAGUAGGUUCUAGACUGGGCCUCUAGCAAUGACUCCAGAACAUGGAAAAAGUGACCCACUGGGGGAAGAGGGGGGAGGUGGAGAAUUACAAAGCUGCCACAUUUAACCUUGAGUUAGAAAACCUGCUGAGUGGCUAUAAUCUUGGUAUCAGGAAAUCACCUGCUUUCUAGGUGUGGUACACAGACUCUGCUGUGGAAAAAUCCCACGUCUCCCACAACCUUGCUUGCCAAUAGGAACAGCCCAAAGUCGCAGGAAGAUGGGCCUCCCUCAUGCCUUCAGAUCUCCUGUUAGGGCAUCUAGCUGAAUUCAUGCCCAGAUCUAUAGCAGCAAGGGUAUCUGGGAAAUGUAGUUUUUAUCUUUCAAGCUUCUUCAGGAAGGCCUACUGGAAGGAGGUUGGAACAUCUAUGGGGUAAUUAUUGUCGAGAAUUCAACCCAUAUCCAGAGAGGGCUGAUCCCUUCAGCCUGCCAGCAGCUUCAGCUUCCCUGGCAGGGUGAGGAUGUGAGCUCACUGGAUAUUUCCAGGGCACGUUCCUUCAGGUAACCUGAAUGGCUGGGACAACAGUGAGGAUGACGGUAGAGGCAACAGCAGCCACAAAGAUAGCAGCUUCCAGUAGGGUGUCUUGUUAGAGUCAACUGGAUAUUAAAUCUGAAGACUGUCAGAAGAUAUAUUUGGCCCAGGCUUCUGUGGAGGGUGUCACACAGGAACUACAGCUGUCUACAGGAAGCAUCAGCCAUUCUUCUUCAGCUGGAGUUUUUGCAGCUGUAUAGCUCUGGUGCAAGGAUAUGAGAAACCCACCAGACAGGCCACAGCUGCAGCUGUUUCAAGGACGCAGCCUUGAGAGUGUAAGGUGCUGUUGAGACCAUGAGACCAUCUGGACUGAAUAUGUGAUGGAACCUAGCAUAGACAGGUCCUGUGAACAUAAUAAAAGGCAUGGAGGAGAAAAAAUGUCCCACUUGUUUAGGGGCAGCACGUUAAUGGGAUGUAGGAGAAGAAACUGAUGAAGAGGCUCUAGCCCUGGGUGCAUCUAUCCAUCACUGGGGCUGUGAAUCAUCCUUUUAUCCAGCGCAUCCUCCUGUCAAUCACUUAGCAGCCACCUUUGUUGUCGGAUGGACCCUUGAGAUAUCACAGUGCUUGUGUUCAUGUCACCCUCAUUUUACUUCCUAAUGGUCUCAAAGUGCAGGAGUAGUGAUACUGGCAAUUCAGGUGUGCCAAAGAAAAGCCUUCAAGUGCUUCCUAGAAGAGAAAAGGUGAAUUUUCUUGACUUAAAAUGGAAAGAAAAAUAUCAUAGACUGCAGUUGCUAAGAUCUAUGCUAAGAACAAAACUUUUACUCGAGAAAUUGUGAACAAAAAAGAAAUUUGUGCUGGUUUUUCUGUGGCUCCUAAAACUGCAAAAGUUAUAAUUCAGUGCAUGGUAAGUGCUUAGUUAAGAUGAAGAAGCUGUUGAAUUUAUAUAAUAAGAUAAUUUGAAAGAGACCACAUUCAUAUAAUUUUUAUUAGGGUAUAUUGUUAUAACUGUUUUACUUUAUUAUUAGCGAUUGUUGUUAACCUCUUACUGUGCCUAAUUUAUGAAUUAUACCUUAUGGUGGGAUGUAAGCAUAGGAAAAAACAAGGUGUAUAUGGGUUUGGUGUUAUCUGUGGUUUCAGGCAUCCACUGGAGUCCUGUGGGCAAGGGGAGAAUAUGGUAUUGGCCAAAUAUUGUUUCCUUGCUAAGAAUAUCCCUACAUGCUUCCCUCUACUCUUGGACUAGCCCAGUUGUCCUUACUUAGACUCUCACAGCCUUGAGUUUAUAGUCCUCAAUACUUUUAUACUAGCAUUUGUGUAGUUAUUUAAUUACUAUCUUGCUGCUUUCUCGCUGCUCUCUUAGACAGUAAGUCCCUUGAGGGAAGGGACAACUUAUGUCUUUUCACCUUUGCUCCCCUAAUGCUUUUUUUUUUUGUCUUUUUUAGGGCCUCACCUGUGGCAUA